UUCAUUCGCAAAUCAAAACUAGCAUUGGUAGGAAGGUAAAGCGAGUUGCAAAAUCUAAAGAUAGAUGACUCUAUGACCGUGAAUACUGAAUCCCGAUUAACAGCUGAGGGCAAAAUUUCUGGGGCCUUGGACUAAACUUUGGAGCGGUUAGAACACAAGUACAUUUGUGUUAAAUAGUAUCGUAUUUGAAAAAGUACUAAAAUGUGGUGGGAAAUUUUACCAUCGUUCGGAAUACUCGUGGGGCUUAUGGCAAUUCCUCAAUAUGGGACUUUCUAUUUGCACAAGGCUGUUCUCGACAAUGGUUAUAGAAGAGAUAUGUCAUCUCGAUGGGACCGCAACCUGUACACCAGAGAUCGACGGCUCUGUGGAGACCCUUACAAAACUCCUGGACUCGAAGCCAUUCCCGACAACUAGAUGGGUGGCUCUUAGCACAUUGUGUGUAAUGUAGACAAAAAGGAACUAUUCAAUUGUACUAUAAUAUAUAUGUCAAUAAAUUACAAAGAUGAACUGCAAAUUUCAUCUAUCACAGGUUACCGAA
rnacentral:misc_RNA from 1 species